rnacentral:rRNA from 1 species
GACGAACGCUGGCGGCGUGCCUAAUACAUGCAAGUAGAACGCUGAAGGAGGAGCUUGCUUCUCUGGAUGAGUUGCGAACGGGUGAGUAACGCGUAGGUAACCUGCCUGGUAGCGGGGGAUAACUAUUGGAAACGAUAGCUAAUACCGCAUAAUAGUAGAUGUUGCAUGACAUUUGCUUAAAAGGUGCAAUUGCAUCACUACCAGAUGGACCUGCGUUGUAUUAGCUAGUUGGUGGGGUAACGGCUCACCAAGGCGACGAUACAUAGCCGACCUGAGAGGGUGAUCGGCCACACUGGGACUGAGACACGGCCCAGACUCCUACGGGAGGCAGCAGUAGGGAAUCUUCGGCAAUAGACGGAAGUCUGACCGAGCAACGCCGCGUGAGUGAAGAAGGUUUUCGGAUCGUAAAGCUCUGUUGUAAGAGAAGAACGAGUGUGAGAGUGGAAAGUUCACACUGUGACGGUAGCUUACCAGAAAGGGACGGCUAACUACGUG